CUGCGGUAUUUGUGCAUUUCAAAGAGAAGAUGAAAGUCAAAGCAUACUUUUGGUUUUUAUCAAUGUAUCGUAUAUUGUGGAAAGAUCGAAGUUGCAGAGAGCGGACAACUGCAAAUUGAGACUCUGAAAUAGAGGAAUUAAGGCGAUCAUAGGGGAGAGGAAGCGUGUUUUAAUCAGAUGAUGAUGAAUACAUGUCAGUGAUAACAUCACCAAGGCAUUUGAAGGUGACAGUGGCAAUGAUUGGGCAGUUCUGCAGGCAUCACAACAGUUACUACAAGAUCACCCAACAGUUGCACCGUCUCUACAGAGGCUGUCAUGAAAUUCCGUCGUUUCUCACAACAGAGGUACGAGCGGCAUAUGCCACCUGGAAAAGGACAGCAUCGGACAGAGAUUGUGGAAGGGAAAUAAGGAGGGAAAUGAGGCAGGCGCAAAUAUCUGAGUGCAUCCUUGGAACACCGGGAUGAAAAAACAAAACAAUAUUAUGUUAAAAAUGCUUAAUGUUUAAUGCAGGAGCUUGAUAGUAUUUCAAUGAAAUAACUUUUAUUUCAAGUCUUAUUUUGUUUGUGUAUUUAUACAGUUACAAUCUGUGUGUAUUAUGGCAUGUCUUUGUAUUAUAACUUGUACAUUUUGAUAAUACUGUUCAGGGGUAUUAUCUACAUUCUGUGAUAAUCCAAUUGUUUAAAUAUUUAAAGCAAUGAUAAUAAUAAUAAACAUUUGUAAGAUAAAAUAGCUGCAUGUUUCAACCAGCUGGGAUCAAGAUCAAUGCCACACAUAGAAAUCAAAUGUCAUACAUUAAUUAAUUUGGCAAUUAUUUGUGAUAAUCAACUUUCAACUGUAAUCAACUGUAUGGUCUUGUCAUACAUGAGCGUAUUGUUUCUGGCAAAAUGUGUACCAAGUUUCAUUUAAAUUUUAAGAUUGUGUUUCUUAGUUAUGGCCAAAGUUAGUGUUUUGCACAACAACGCCUACACAGACGACACCUUGGUUUUAUUUUUAGCUCACCAGAGCCCGAAGUGCUAUUGUGAUCGGUCUUUGUCCGGCGU